GACGAACGCUSGCGGCGUGCCUAAUACAUGCAAGUCGAACGAACUCUGGUAAUGAUUGGUGCUUGCAUCAUGAAUUACAUUUGAGUGAGUGGCGAACUGGUGAGUAACACGUGGGAAACCUGCCCAGAAGCGGGGGAUAACACCUGGAAACAGAUGCUAAUACCGCAUAACAACUUGGACCGCAUGGUCCGAGUUUGAAAGAUGGCUUCGGCUAUCACUUUUGGAUGGUCCCGCGGCGUAUUAGCUAGAUGGUGAGGUAACGGCUCACCAUGGCAAUGAUACGUAGCCGACCUGAGAGGGUAAUCGGCCACAUUGGGACUGAGACACGGCCCAAACUCCUACGGGAGGCAGCAGUAGGGAAUCUUCCACAAUGGACGAAAGUCUGAUGGAGCAACGCCGCGUGAGUGAAGAAGGGUUUCGGCUCGUAAAACUCUGUUGUUAAAGAAGAACAUAUCUGAGAGUAACUGUUCAGGUAUUGACGGUAUUUAACCAGAAAGCCACGGCUAACUACGUGCCAGCAGCCGCGGUAAUACGUAGGUGGCAAGCGUUGUCCGGAUUUAUUGGGCGUAAAGCGAGCGCAGGCGGUUUUUUAAGUCUGAUGUGAAAGCCUUCGGCUCAACCGAAGAAGUGCAUCGGAAACUGGGAAACUUGAGUGCAGAAGAGGACAGUGGAACUCCAUGUGUAGCGGUGAAAUGCGUAGAUAUAUGGAAGAACACCAGUGGCGAAGGCGGCUGUCUGGUCUGUAACUGACGCUGAGGCUCGAAAGUAUGGGUAGCAAACAGGAUUAGAUACCCUGGUAGUCCAUACCGUAAACGAUGAAUGCUAAGUGUUGGAGGGUUUCCGCCCUUCAGUGCUGCAGCUAACGCAUUAAGCAUUCCGCCUGGGGAGUACGGCCGCAAGGCUGAAACUCAAAGGAAUUGACGGGGGCCCG
rnacentral:rRNA from 1 species